UACGUAGGGUGCGAGCGUUAAUCGGAAUUACUGGGCGUAAAGCGUGCGUAGGCGGUUCGCUGUGUCCGAUGUGAAAGCCCCGGGCUUAACCCUGGGAAUGGCAUUGGAAACUGGCGGGCUUGAGUGCGGGCAGAGGGGGGUGGAAUUCCGCGGUGUAGCGGUGAAAUGCGUAGAUAUCGAGAGGAACACCUGCGGCGAAGGCGGGGUUGCUGGGCUGACACUGACGCUGAUGCGCGAAAGCCAGGGGAGCGAACGGG
rnacentral:rRNA from 1 species